CGUGGGAACGUGCCUUUAGGUUCGGAAUAGCUCCUGGAAACGGGUGGUAAUGCCGAAUGUGCCCUUCGGGGGAAAGAUUUAUCGCCUUUAGAGCGGCCCGCGUCUGAUUAGCUAGUUGGUGAGGUAACGGCUCACCAAGGCGACGAUCAGUAGCUGGUCUGAGAGGAUGACCAGCCACACUGGGACUGAGACACGGCCCAGACUCCUACGGGAGGCAGCAGUGGGGAAUCUUGCGCAAUGGGCGAAAGCCUGACGCAGCCAUGCCGCGUGAAUGAUGAAGGUCUUAGGAUUGUAAAAUUCUUUCACCGGGGACGAUAAUGACGGUACCCGGAGAAGAAGCCCCGGCUAACUUCGUGCCAGCAGCCGCGGUAAUACGAAGGGGGCUAGCGUUGCUCGGAAUUACUGGGCGUAAAGGGCGCGUAGGCGGAUCGUUAAGUCAGAGGUGAAAUCCCAGGGCUCAACCCUGGAACUGCCUUUGAUACUGGCGAUCUUGAGUAUGAGAGAGGUAUGUGGAACUCCGAGUGUAGAGGUGAAAUUCGUAGAUAUUCGGAAGAACACCAGUGGCGAAGGCGACAUACUGGCUCAUUACUGACGCUGAGGCGCGAAAGC
rnacentral:rRNA from 1 species